AUUGAACGCUGGCGGCAGGCCUAACACAUGCAAGUCGAACGAGUGGCGGACGGGUGAGUAAUGUGUGGGAAACUGCCUGAUGGAGGGGGAUAAAUACUGGAAACGGUAGCUAAUACCGCCUACAAUCGAAUGUGCCAAGAUGGGAUUAGCUAGUUGGUGGGGUAAAAGUUCACCUGGGCGACGAUCCCUAGCUGGGCUGAGAGGAUGACCAGCCCCACUGGAACUGAUACACGUGCCAUACUCCAACGGGAGGCAGCAGUGGGAAAUAUUGCACAAUGGUCGCAAGCCUGAUGCACCCAUGCCGCGUGUAUGAAGAAGGCCUUCGGGUUUUAAAGUACUUUCAGCGGUGAGGCGUUACCCGCAUAAUAAGCACCGGCUAACUCCGUGCCAGCCGCCGCGGUAAUAC
rnacentral:rRNA from 1 species